UAGGUUAGAUGAUGAUAGCAGUGCUAACGGAGGCCUCAAGCAUUGAUUAAUGACAACAAUAUUGUAUACUGAUUAUAGGAUGAGUUGCGUCAUGUUGUGCUUCUGGUGUUUGCAGACAAACAGGAUCUUCCUAAUGCCAUGAACGUUGUUGAAAUCCUUGGCCUGCAUUCCCUUCGCCAGUGACACUGGUCAGGAACCUACGACACUAAUUAACAUAACCAGAGUUGCAAAAUUAUCUUUGGUCACUGGCUGUUUGGAUUCCUGGCUGUGAGAGCUUCCUCCAACCUGUUUGUUUUUCCAAGUCCUAUUUAUCUAUGCCUACAGGAUAUUCGGCAUAAAUCCAAGCAGGUCAAAGUGUAGGCUAUUGAAGGAACAAAUGCUCAAGAUAGUCUUUUUUUUUGCAACUGAAAGCUCAAGAUCUCAGAGCACUUGUAUUGGACAUGCAAGCAAGAUUGCUUCUGGUAUGCUAGGCAAGGGAAUAAAGUCUACCCUGAUAAAUCCAUCAACUCUGCUACCUAUGAUUGCUUGAUGAAGAAUUUAUGUUGGGUAGAUAGUGCCCCGCUCACAUAUGAAAAAUAGAUUUAUUUAUUUGCUCAGAGCUCGUUUGUACAUGUACAUUUGUUAUAUUUGGUUCUUUCCGAAGGAAAAUAAGAAAUGGCAACUUAUCCAUGCUAUCUGGAAUAAGUACUUUACUUAUACG